rnacentral:rRNA from 1 species
GACGAACGCUGGCGGCGUGCCUAAUACAUGCAAGUUGAGCGCUGAAGGUUGGUACUUGUACCAACUGGAUGAGCAGCGAACGGGUGAGUAACGCGUGGGGAAUCUGCCUUUGAGCGGGGGACAACAUUUGGAAACGAAUGCUAAUACCGCAUAAAAACUUUAAACACAAGUUUUAAGUUUGAAAGAUGCAAUUGCAUCACUCAAAGAUGAUCCCGCGUUGUAUUAGCUAGUUGGUGAGGUAAAGGCUCACCAAGGCGAUGAUACAUAGCCGACCUGAGAGGGUGAUCGGCCACAUUGGGACUGAGACACGGCCCAAACUCCUACGGGAGGCAGCAGUAGGGAAUCUUCGGCAAUGGACGAAAGUCUGACCGAGCAACGCCGCGUGAGUGAAGAAGGUUUUCGGAUCGUAAAACUCUGUUGGUAGAGAAGAACGUUGGUGAGAGUGGAAAGCUCAUCAAGGGACGGUAACUACCCAGAAAGGGACGGCUAACUACGU